CCUGCCCACCCUCCCGGAUUGGUCGGAGCCCCGCCCCUGCACCUGCUGAUUGGUCAAGGGAGCCGCCGCUUGGCCGAGUAACUCACCGUAGCCAGGUGCAACCCCUCCCAUUACUACUUCUGCUGCAGGCGCCUCUGAUUGGCCCAGGACACUGUCCCGUAAGAAACGAAUUCCUCACCUUCGGCAGGUCUCCAGUUUCGGGGCAGCAUCUGAGUGGAGAGGCGUCCCUGCUCAUGCUGACAGAUGAAGAAGGCGGUCGGGCCGAGGACCGUGCUGGAUGCAGGCACCAGCAGGCAGUAGGAGCAGGAUCGUACUGAGACAAGCGUGGUGGUUCACACAGUAACUCCAGCAUUCUGGAAGACGGAAACGGGAGGAUCACAAGUUUGAGCCCAGCCUGGACACCAUAGUGUGAAGAAGGCUUCAGUUUAUUUGUUUCGUACUUAAGCAGUCUUUUCUUUCAUGACGUCUACAUUUUGAGUCAUAGUUAGAAUGUCUUAACCACUUUAAGGUAAUGAAUUAAGUGGAUUGAUGAGUUUGUGUUUCUAUUCUUACUUUCAAUCUUUGAUCCAUUUAAAAUUAUCUUGUAUAUCAUAUGGGGUUUGGAACCCAUCUAUCUACUCACAUCGCUUAAUUUUUUGUGUGUAUGGUUCAGAAAAAGCAAUUCAUUAUAUAUUAAAUGACUCAAAUUUUCCCCCACUUCCUCAUUUUCUUUUGUAGGCAUGAGGCUAGACACAGGAAUCCUUGAUAUUUUCUUCUAAUAUUACAAGUGGUUUUAUGAAAGCUAUUUCAACAUGAUUGUACUCUUUUUUUUUUUUUUGUACCUGGGAUUGAAUUUGGGAACUUGCGCUUACAAGGCAGGCAGCACAACCACUGAGCUAAAUCCCCAGCCCUGAACUCAUUUAUCUACAAAUUCAAUAAAUAUAUACUGAAUACAUAGGUGCCAGGGAUAAAUCUGUAAACAGAAUCAAUAAAAUUUUGAUUUUUUUGGAGUUUAAAUUCUGGUAGGAAAGAGACAUAAAUAUAUAGCAGGAAUUAAAUAAGUAAAAA